AGGACGACGCUGGCGGCGUGCUUAACACAUGCAAGUCGAACGAAGAUAUGUUGAAAGCUUGCUGAUGCAUAUUUAGUGGCGGACGGGUGAGUAACGCGUGAGGACUUGUCUAGUACAGGGGGACAACAGUUGGAAACGGCUGCUAAUACCCCAUAAGCCUAUGGGUAAAAGGAGCAAUCCGGUACAUGAGAGACUCGCGUCCUAUCAGCUAGUAGGUGGGGUAACGGCCCACCUAGGCGAAGACGGGUAGCCGGCCUGAGAGGGCGAACGGCCACACUGGAACUGAGACACGGUCCAGACUCCUACGGGAGGCAGCAGUGGGGAAUAUUGGGCAAUGGAGGGAACUCUGACCCAGCGACGCCGCGUGAGUGAAGAAAUCCCUCGGGAUGUAAAGCUCUGUUGUGUGGGAAGAUAAUGACGGUACCACACGAGGAAGCCCCGGCAAACUACGUG
rnacentral:rRNA from 1 species